rnacentral:sRNA from 1 species
GAUACAAGGAUAAAAAAGUCAUCGAUCCUUGUGCUCGCACAAAGGAGCGAAUGACUUUUUGAUCCGAACAAUAUGAGCAAGGAGCGAUUUACAAAGUAAAUCAGCGAAUUGCGAAUAAUUGUAGAAUUGCGAAAGCUGCUUUAAGCGGCGGAGCAAUUCGUAUC